CAGACCCAUUUGCGUUGCUUCCUUGUUCAGUCUGGAGAAAGCAGAACUAACGGCGCGAGUGUUGAUACCAAUGAUAUCAAUAUCAUCGGCAUACGCCAGCAGCUGUACACUCUUAUAAAAGAUUGUACCUGCUCGAUUCAGUUCUGCAGCUCGAAUAAUAUUCUCCAGCAGCAGAUUGAAAAAGUCGCACGAUAGGGAGUCGCCUUGUCUGAACCUCGUUUCGUAUCGAACGGCUCGGAGAGGUCCUUCCCGAUCCUGACGGAGCUUUUCGUGUUGCUCAACGUCAGUUUACACAGCCGUAUUAGUUUUGCGGGGAUACCAAAUUCAGACAUCGCGGCAUAAAGGCAGCUCCUUUUCGUGCUGUCGAAAGCAGCUUUGAAAUCGACGAAUAGGUAGUGAGUGUCGAUUCUCCUUUCACGGGUCUUUUCCAAGAUUUGGCGCAUGGUGAAUAUCUGGUCGGUUGUUGAUUUACCAGGUCUGAAGCCACACUGAUAAGGUCCAAUCAGUUUGUUGACGGUGGGCUUUAAUCUUUCACACAGUACGCUCGAUAGAACCUUAUAUGCGAUGUUGAGGGGGCUAAUCCCACGGUAGUUGGCGCAGAUUGUGGGGUCUCCUUUUUUAUGGAUUGGGCAUAGCACACUUAAAUUCCAAUCGCUGGGCAUGCUUUCAUCCGACCAUAUUUUACAAAGAAGCUGAUGCAUGCUCCUUAUCAGUUUUUCGCCGCCGUGCUUGAAUAGCUCGGCCGGCAAUCCAUCGGCCCCUGCCGCUUUGUUGUUUUUCCGGCGGGCAAUUGCCCGCAAUGGAACGUCAGCUCCAUCGUCAUCGAUUGGGGUAUCGGGUUCGCCUUCUCCUGGUGUUCUGCGUUCACUGCCAUUCAGCAGGCUGGAGAAGUGUUCUCUCCAUUAUUUAAGUAUGCUUU